rnacentral:tRNA from 1 species
GGUGCGGUAGCUUAUAAGACAAAGCGUGGGGCUUUUAACCCUAAGAAGUUUAGAUAACCCGCGUCU